rnacentral:snRNA from 1 species
AGGACUUUGAAAAGAGAGU